CCAUUCUUUUCUUUCUUUGGUCUUUCACUUUGUCCCUUCAAAUCUACUAUUUUACUUUAGUAAUUCACCCCUAAUAAUAAUAGAACCCUACCCCAUUUUAAGUGUUGUAAGCUCUGAUCACCAAUACCCUGUCCAAGUGACGUAGGGCCCGUAACGUAUGUCAAGGCUCUGCCUAAAUUCGUUGGGGUUCUGUCUCGUGACGUAGGGAUAAAGUGGAAUUGGGUUACUAUACUUGAUGUGGGUGCACUAUAUAUUUUAUUAAAUAACCCAGAAGUGAUACCCAAAAUAUAACAACCCUCCCGAAUAUUUUUCUGACACCCUACACUUCCUAAGAUACACCCCGUAUGUGAAAACCGAGCCCGAAAUACAAUAUAUUAUUAAAAAUAAUUAAAAAACAAGAAAACAUAAGUUUACGCGGGCCGCGUAAAGAUCCUCGGUUAGUUAAUACGGGCCGCGAGAGGUUAGAAAGGUGGCGCAGCCCUGGGCCGCCACGUGGCACAACACCCGUCAAGCCUACACAUCAACUCAGCAUAGCUAUACGUUGACUUUGGGUCAACGCGGGCCGCGUAAGACCUGUUCUCAUUUGACGCGGGCCGCGAGAGAGUCCAGUAUCAGCCCUAUAAAUUGGAUCGUCGAGCCUUCAGUCCAAUUCGUUCAGAAUUCAAUUUUCUCUCUCAAUUUUUGUAGUAUAGGCCCUAUACCCGGGCAUUAUACCCCCCUAAUUAGCGAAGCUCUGCCUCGUUGUAAGUAUCAUAACCCCUGGAUACGUAUUAGAUACUCUGCCCGUUUGAUCUAGGGUUCCGUAACGACUGUCGUGGUUCUGCCCGACGUAGUCGUUGGAAUACCGUCUCGGGGAGGGUAUUACUAAUGUUAAAAUAGGUUAUUAUACUAACGCGUGUGCAUUGUUCAUUUAAUUAGAUUAUAACCAGGGAAUCACAAAAGAAAGCCCUAUAAUAGCAAUGUGAGUUAAUCCUCUUUUUAUGUACUCAUUUUUGUGAGUUGAUCCACUUUUUGUAAACUUUUGUUUACUGUUUUUACAAAACCUUAAAUAUCUUUCCAUGCGAAUGACAGUUAUUGAGUAUUUGUAAGAAUACAAUUACAGUCGGUAAAUUUGGGGUUUUGUAUACAAAAUUUGUUACCACCUGGUAAAGGAGUAACAUGACCAUAAGUCGGAACGACAUUACCGUGUGGUGGUAAUUGAUAUAACUUGGAAACAAAUGUAAUUGCGGAUGCGCCCUCAAUACUGUUCACUGUAACUUAGUAUGAAGCCAAUAAAAGCCAGCUGGAGAGCACUGAAGGCUUGGAAAAGUGGCAAUAAAGUUACCUAAAAUAAAAUAGAUGUUUUAUUAAAUAAAAUAGGAUUUAUUCCUAUGAAAAUGUAUGUACUGCAAAACUUGGGUUUACCCAUGUGUUUAUUAUUAUGAAAAUGUGGUGGUUUACU
rnacentral:lncRNA from 1 species